rnacentral:rRNA from 1 species
ACGGGAGGCAGCAGUAGGGAAUCUUCCACAAUGGGCGAAAGCCUGAUGGAGCAACGCCGCGUGGGUGAAGAAGGUCUUCGGAUCGUAAAACCCUGUUGUUAGAGAAGAAAGUGCGUGAGAGUAACUGUUCACGUUUCGACGGUAUCUAACCAGAAAGCCACGGCUAACUACGUGCCAGCAGCCGCGGUAAUACGUAGGUGGCAAGCGUUAUCCGGAUUUAUUGGGCGUAAAGGGAACGCAGGCGGUCUUUUAAGUCUGAUGUGAAAGCCUUCGGCUUAACCGGAGUAGUGCAUUGGAAACUGGGAGACUUGAGUGCAGAAGAGGAGAGUGGAACUCCAUGUGUAGCGGUGAAAUGCGUAGAUAUAUGGAAGAACACCAGUGGCGAAAGCGACUCUCUGGUCUGUAACUGACGCUGAGGUUCGAAAGCGUGGGUAGCAAACAGGAUUAGAUACCCUGGUAGUCCACGCCGUAAACGAUGAAUGCUAAGUGUU